AUGCCCCGUCCCUCUAAGUGUCAAGGCCAGGCUGGACGGGGCUCUGAGCAACCUGGUCUCCUGAAAGGUGUCCAUGGCAGGGAACUUGGAACUAGAUGCUCCUUAAGGUUCCUUCCAACUCAAAGCAUUCUGUGGCUUUCUGAAUUACAGUGGCCGGGGAGGGAAAAUGUGCGUCUUCUAUCCAAAGUGGGGCAGACACAAAGUGACCAGGGAGACUACUGCUACUUGCACUGGGCCAGCAGAGGACAAGUGCUGCAAGUGCUGCACACAGAUGUUGUGUGGAGAAUGACAGCACAGACACUGCAUCCACCUCCUACAGCUAUACUUACAAGGAUGGGUCAUCCACCAUGCAUCCAAGUGGCUGCACAGCUGUCCUCAAAGCUUGUUCCUUGGGCUUCCCAUAAUACUAGCCCAGACAUGCUUCCUUCUACCCGGUCCAGCUGGCUGCUAUUAUUUCUUCCCCACCUGCUCUGGGGAUGCCUUUGGUGUGUCCCAUGGCCUCGAGGUCACCUCAGCAGUUGGCUGCAGCAGAGGAGUCCAUCGGCAGCUCCCAAUCCACCUGCACGUCCUUGCCCAUGUCCAACAACACAGCCAGAAGUUCUCAUCUCAACAACCUUCAGGAGCAGAGCUGCUUUCUCUUAAGAAAAUAUGUGAUAGAGGAAUGUUUCCACAGAAAGAGCUUUGCACCAUCUCCCUCUUUCAUGCACUUCACUCCUCCCUGGGGCAAAAUGCUCACUAAAUACAUCAGUUGUGUUCCACAAGAAGCUGCUGAUACCAGAGAGUGAGCUGGGAAAGAAGAAAUGUGGUGGGUUGAUCCUAGUCAGCAGUGAAGCCUCCACUGCCAUUUGCUCACUCGCUCCUUCCUGCAGGAUGAAGCAGAGAUUCAGCAGGGUGAAGCCAUGGGAAAAAUACCUAUGGGUUGACAUAAAAGUCUUGUAGUGAAUAAAAAUAACAUAAAUAAGUGAUGCA
ensembl:lncRNA